GGGGGUGAGCAUGUGGUGGCGCAGGGUGUUGUCGAUGGCGCCGCGGAUGGCGACGGCCAUCACCCGCGGUUCGACGUCCGCGAACUCCCC
rnacentral:tRNA from 1 species